UACGGGGGGAGCAAGCGUUGUUCGGAUUUACUGGGCGUAAAGGGCGCGUAGGCGGUCGUGACAAGUCACUUGUGAAAUCUCCGGGCUUAACUCGGAACGGUCAAGUGAUACUGUCGGACUAGAGUACAGAAGGGGCAACUGGAAUUCUCGGUGUAGCGGUGAAAUGCGUAGAUAUCAAGAGGAACACCUGAGGUGAAGACGGGUUGCUGGGCUGACACUGACGCUGAGGCGCGAAAGCCAGGGGAGCAAACGGG
rnacentral:rRNA from 1 species